AGUGUCACUUGGGCAGCGAGCGGGUGAGGAAGGCAAGGUUCGGUGUGGCCGCUCUCUCCACCACUUGCUCCAAUAAUUAAAUUAAUAACGACACGGGAAUACUCAACGACGUAGCCCCCACGAACGAUUCUGAACCACACGGAGGCACUGACGACCCAUCCUGGCGUGAGGCUGCUCCCAACACUCAGGAUGUGACGACACUUGACUUGACAGGUGUGGGCGGCAAAUGUUGUCGGUUUGGUACGUGUGUGAGGGAGACUCAGAGCGUACCAGUGAGAGCCUUGGUUGUAUAUAGACUACUCAAGAGUUCACAAGUGUCAGCAUUGGAACAUUAUGAUAAACGGAAUAAUCAAAUCAACUCAAAACAUUCGAAUUCUAUAACCAAAUUGAUUAUAAAAGGCAUCUGUGUGUACAAUAAUAUAUAACAAACAGUAAAUUAUAACACCUUUGCAACCAAGAAACAUCGAAGCCAAAAUGUUUAUGUAUAUGAGUGAGAUAUAAACAUGUUAUCGAGUUCCAAAGACCAUCAAACGUGACAGAACACAACACGCAUAAAAACUUGUGUUCACACCUUCGUCAGCGCGUCAGGAACCAACUGCAGACGAGUCACACAGUAUAAACCGUCGCCUACAUCCACCAACGACAGAGGUGGUGGGGAAGACCGAGGAAGAGAAGCUGAAGGCCUCAAACACUUAAGGUA